CGGGCGUUAGUGUAACAGGAACACGGCCGUCUUAUAAACCGCAGUCCAAGGUGCAACUCCUUGACGCCCGA
rnacentral:tRNA from 1 species